GUGGGGAAUAUUGGGCAAUGGGGGAAACCCCGACCCAGCAACGCCGCGUGAAGGAAGAAGGUUUUCGGAUCGUAAACUUCUAUCCUUGGUGAAGAUAAUGACGGUAGCCAAGAAGGAAGCCCCGGCUAACUACGUGCCAGCAGCCGCGGUAAUACGUAGGGGGCAAGCGUUGUCCGGAAUGAUUGGGCGUAAAGGGCGCGUAGGCGGCCUGGUAAGUCUGGAGUGAAAGUCCUGCUUUUAAGGUGGGAAUUGCUUUGGAUACUGUCGGGCUUGAGUGCAGGAGAGGUAAGCGGAAUUCCCGGUGUAGCGGUGAAAUGCGUAGAGAUCGGGAGGAACACCAGUGGCGAAGGCGGCUUACUGGACUGUAACUGACGCUGAGGCGCGAAAGUGUGGGGAGCAAACAGGAUUAGAUACCCCGGUAGUCC
rnacentral:rRNA from 1 species